UGGGCCACUUGAUACGGUCAUGCAGCUGGGUCGGGUCAAACGGAUAUCAUUAUUGACUGUGAUGAAAGAUUCACAACGACUUGAUCUACUAAAGAAAAUUGCUGGUAGUCGAGAUUAUGAAGAGGUUCGUCACAGAAGCUGGAAACUCAUGCAAAAUUGCUGGUAGUCGAGAUUAUUUUGUUUUCAUUUUUUUAUUGUUCGUCCAAUUAAUUCUUAAUUCGAGUUCGUAAAUGAUUUGGGGACGAGUCUCAGUAUGGACCAGUCUGAAUUAUCAUACUGUUGAUUUAUGCUUUUCAAGACUGAUAUAAUCCGAUUUGGGUUCCUUUCUUGACAGAUUUGAAGCUCUUUGGGUUUUGGUCAAAGUUUGUCAAACGGGUCAAGGCUGGUCAAAACAAGUAAGCACACCAAUUGAGGAGUUUGUUGUGCUGCGAAUCUAUGAAUUGGAGAGUGACGAAGGUAUUGUGGAAGAGGAGAAAUUAUAACCAUGUGGAGAGUGCCGAAGGACUGUGCAAAGUAUUUACACAAGAAGUUUCCGGACAGUAGGCAAGUUGGUGAAAACAUGGGCAAAGUUACUAAUACUAAACAUAUUCUGCACGAGUGUAAAUCCUGAGGCCCUGAGCUAGAAUUGCUUUACACGGUUCAGUGUUAUGAAGAUACAAAAUUGUUGAAAUCGUUUCUUGAAUUGUGACGUCACUAUAUGAUCUAGAUAUUCGUGCUAUGGAUACUUCAUUUUAUUGGUUCCGCAAAAGGAACCAACCCAAAAGGAAGUUAUUAAGGUGGACAUUUGACAUUAUGUAGCCAUACGGGUGUGGAUUUGACAUGCCUGGUACAAUCUGUAGUGGAUUUGACAUGGGCUGUUUUGAUCCAGUAACACGCUCCUUGGUCCAUACGCGCCAGGUGCUUUUGGUCCAUCAGCCGCCGCCAGCUAUAGGGUUGCGAGGCUACCAUUAGUACAUGGUUUAUACUCACCAGAUGCUUAUGGUCUUAUAGUAUUUUCAUUUGGCAUGG